rnacentral:lncRNA from 1 species
GAGAGAGAGAGAGAGAGAGCGAGAGAGAGAGAGAGGGAGGGUUUUCCCAUGUAAACUUGUUGCCAAUUUUUGGUAAAGUUGUUGCCUGUGAAUGGUAAAGUUGUUGCAAAAAUGGUAAAUGUGUUGCUUUUUUUACCGAUUUGGUAAAGUUGUUGCCCAAAGCAACAACUUUCCAUAUGAAAAUUGGUAAAUGUGUUGUCAUCACCAUUGACAAUACACACGAGCCUGCUCCUGCGUGUAUUAUCGCAUAGACUUUAAAAGAGGCUACCAAGGCGCUUGAUGGAUGCGCAUGCUGCAUGCAUGGAGUCCUACAUAUAUACAUGUAUGUACAGUUUGACAGAAUGAUGGUGUUAUGGAUGAAUGAGAUGAGAAUUACGAAUGGAGGUGCUCCCAGUGAUUCCAGAGCUGUUCUUCCAAGAGAGUGUCAACUAGCACUGAGCCUGGAUGUAAGGAUGUUCCUUCUGGAUCAAGAAGCGAUUUGAUUGUGGAGCCUGGAUGUAAGGAUGUUCCUUCUGGAUCAAGAAGCGAUUUGAUUGUGGAGCCUGGAUGUAAGGAUGUUCCUUCUGGAUCAAGAAGCGAUUUGAUUGUGGAGCCUGGAUGUAAGGAUGUUCCUUCUGGAUCAAGAAGCGAUUUGAUUGUGCUUACUGUUGUACAAAGUUGGCAACCGAGUAUUGGGGAAGCAGUUGUGCACACAACGUGUCAGCGUAGACUCCUCUAACCAGAUGGAGAGCAGACAAUGAUCAAGCUCAUUUUACAGGCUGCCCUUUCAAAUGCGUCCAAGAUGAAGAAAAGGCCAUUUCGAGCAUUGACCAAUGCUGUGUAUGACCCGAUGUCUAGGGAAGGACCCCUAGGAUGCUCAGCGAAGGCUUUCUACAAAAAAUUAAUCAUGUAACACUAAGGAAUCUGUCACUUGUCAACAAAAUAAAAUGGCAUU